rnacentral:rRNA from 1 species
GAUGAACGCUGGCGGCGCGCCUAACACAUGCAAGUCGAACGGCACCUAUCUUCGGAUAGAAGCGAGUGGCGAACGGCUGAGUAACACGUGGAGAACCUGCCCCCUCCCCCGGGAUAGCCGCCCGAAAGGACGGGUAAUACCGGAUACCCCCGGGCGCCGCAUGGCGCCCGGGCUAAAGCCCCGACGGGAGGGGAUGGCUCCGCGGCCCAUCAGGUAGACGGCGGGGUGACGGCCCACCGUGCCGACAACGGGUAGCCGGGUUGAGAGACCGACCGGCCAGAUUGGGACUGAGACACGGCCCAGACUCCUACGGGAGGCAGCAGUGGGGAAUCUUGCGCAAUGGGGGGAACCCUGACGCAGCGACGCCGCGUGCGGGACGGAGGCCUUCGGGUCGUAAACCGCUUUCAGCAGGGAAGAGUCAAGACUGUACCUGCAGAAGAAGCCCCGGC